rnacentral:rRNA from 1 species
GACGGACGCCGGCGGCGUGCUUAACACAUGCAAGUCGAACGGAAAGGCCCUGCUUUUGUGGGGUGCUCGAGUGGCGAACGGGUGAGUAACACGUGAGUAACCUGCCCUUGACUUUGGGAUAACUUCAGGAAACUGGGGCUAAUACCGGAUAGGAGCUCCUGCUGCAUGGUGGGGGUUGGAAAGUUUCGGCGGUUGGGGAUGGACUCGCGGCUUAUCAGCUUGUUGGUGGGGUAGUGGCUUACCAAGGCUUUGACGGGUAGCCGGCCUGAGAGGGUGACCGGCCACAUUGGGACUGAGAUACGGCCCAGACUCCUACGGGAGGCAGCAGUGGGGAAUAUUGCACAAUGGGCGGAAGCCUGAUGCAGCAACGCCGCGUGCGGGAUGACGGCCUUCGGGUUGUAAACCGCUUUCGCCUGUGACGAAGCGUGAGUGACGGUAAUGGGUAAAGAAGCACCGGCUAACUACGUG